CGGAGGAAAAGAAACUAACAAGGAUUCCCCUAGUAACGGCGAGUGAAGCGGGAAGAGCUCAAAUUUGAAAUCUGGUAGCCUUCGGUUGCCCGAGUUGUAAUCUAGAGAAAUGUUUUCCGUGCCGGCCCAUGUACAAGUCCCUUGGAACAGGGCGUCAUAGAGGGUGAGAAUCCCGUCCUUGACAUGGACCCCCGGUGCUUUGUGAUACAUUUUCAACGAGUCGAGUUGUUUGGGAAUGCAGCUCAAAAUGGGUGGUGAAUUCCAUCUAAAGCUAAAUAUUGGCGAGAGACCGAUAGCGAACAAGUACCGUGAGGGAAAGAUGAAAAGCACUUUGGAAAGAGAGUUAAACAGUACGUGAAAUUGUUGAAAGGGAAACGAUUGAAGUCAGUCAUGCUCUUUGGUAUUUAUAUCAUUGAGUGGGGUCAACAUCAGUUUUGAUCGAUGGAUAAAGGCACUAGGAAGGUAGCACUCUCGGGUGAACUUAUAGCCUAGCGUCAUAUACAUUGAUUGGGACUGAGGAACGCAGCAUGCCUUUAUGGCCGGGAUUCGUCCACGUACAUGCUUAGG
rnacentral:rRNA from 1 species